CAUCAGUGGAGCAGCAACACAUCACAGCAGCAGCGGAGGGAAGCAGGAGGUGGUUAUAUCGUAGAGGAGGGACGAGGCUGAGGGUCCUCCUCUAACUUUGGCCUCUUCUUCAAGAAGACGUCGAGAUUUGACUGCCUUUUCUUAAGUUUCUUUUCAUGAAGCAGUUCUCGGUAGCAGGAAAUCAUGUUGAGAACACCUCUUUGCCUCGCUCCCAGUCAGGGUCAUUAUUGAUGAACUUCUCCAUGAUUUUUGUGAUUGUGGUGAUGCCGGUGCUGAGGAAUGUUAUGGUGAGGUUUCUUGCUGGUGUUUACACAUGCGGGAGAGGCAGAGCAUGAGCUCAUAUGUGAUUGGCUGUGAGUGGCCAAGAGCGUAUGUAGAGCGCCCUUAUUGGCUGAUUGAAUGUUUACUAUAAUGGCAGCCAGUCUUGAGAAGUUUUAAGCAUUGUUUAGAAUGCAUUUUUGUCAUUUUAAAAAAAUUCAGUAAAGAAUUGAAUAACUGUGUUGUAAUGAAUCAGUGUGGUGCAGGGUAGCGUUAUGUGGUAUCUGAGUUUAUUGUGUAUAGUUCUGGUCACCACAUAAUAGAAGCCAUCAUAUAAAAGUGAGAGGAAAGAGUUUUAGAGGGGAUUUGAGGGAAAAGCUUUUUACACAGAGCAGGUAAUACAUGGAAUUGAUUGUCAAAGGAGAUGGUGGAGUUAGAUAUGAUCCAUACAUUUAAGAGACUUUUAUUCAGAACUUAAAAAGGUACAGAAGGAGACCAACUCUGCAUAGUCUGGCAUGAUAAUGGAGAGAUAUUUCGAUAAAGGCCCAGGCGGACUAACCACUGGUUAAGAAUAAUCAUCAUCCUCUUGAGGGCUUCCACCUUACUGCCUGAGUAAGUAUUGCCAAAUUAUUACAUUUGUCGACUCGAGCAUCCUAAUUGGCCCAGAAUCCAAUUGUGAAGCAGUGGCUGAUGUGUUAAACAGGUCUUGCACUGUUUUGAAAAAAAUAUUAAAUUGCUUAACAGCAAAAAAUAUAAUUAAGGCCAAUAAAAUGAACACAUUUUGUCCUUAGUUUACAGAUGCAUUAAAAAAAGCCAAUAAUCAUUGUCCAACAUUUAUCACACUUGUAUGGUGGAAAAAUAAUUAGGCGUACAAUGUUAAGGAUU